AACUAAUUUCGCCUUUAAGCGUAUUAUUGAACCAAAAAUAUAUCGAUUGGGAUGGUAAAUUACGGUCCAAAACCCUAAAUAUUUUUCCCAGAAUGAAAGGAACCUAAAAUAUUUUUUAGUACAUUGAAGUCUUCAAAAUCUCGCCGCCGUUUCGAUCAAAAAUAAAAAUCUCACCGCCGCCAUUGUAAUCAGGAUCUAAGCUGAUUCAUUUAUGGCUACGGCCACUUCCAAUAUACGGUCCCCGUCGAUCACACUCUUCGGAAAAGGGACAGUCUCCUAUCAGAGAACAGCAGCACCGUUUCAAAUUCCCCAAUUUCCUCUGAACCGCCCUCGUCUCACCGCUCUUUUCGCUUCCCUCCACGACGGGAAUAACAAAGACGACGGAAGCAAUAAGAUCACGAAGUCCGUCGGUUUGGAGGAGCUUUUCGAGGAUUCCUCGUAUGACGUUGUUUCAAAAGACUCCCCUUUUCAUCCCAGGCCACUUUCUUCAACCCAGUUCUCUAAUUCAGUCUCUGCUGGCUCUCGCCUUCGCGUUGCGUAUCAGGGAGUUCGUGGCGCCUACAGUGAAGCAGCUGCUGAGAAGGCCUAUCCAAAUUGUGAAGCUGUUCCUUGUGAUCAAUUUGAUGCUGCUUUUGAAGCUGUAGAAAAGUGGAUAGUGGAUAGAGCAGUAUUACCGAUCGAGAAUUCCUUAGGUGGUAGUAUUCAUCGGAAUUAUGACCUCUUGCUUCGCCAUAGCUUGCACAUUGUUGGGGAAGUUAAGCUUGCAGUUCGUCAUUGCUUACUAGCCAAUCAUGGUGUUAGAGUUGAGGACUUACAAAGGGUUCUUAGUCAUCCUCAGGCUCUAGCACAGUGCGAGAACACGUUAACAAAGUUAGGCUUGAGUAGAGAAGCAACUGAUGAUACUGCUCUUGCAGCAAAGUACGUGGCUUUCAACAAACUAAAAGAUACGGGAGCUGUUGCAAGUUCUUCAGCUGCAAAGAUAUAUGGACUGAACAUUCUUGCUGAAGAUGUUCAGGAUAAUUGUGAUAAUGUUACUCGAUUUCUCAUGCUGGCCAGGGAACCCAUUAUUCCUGGUGUGGAGAAGCCAUUCAAGACAAGUAUAGUUUUCUCACUAGAGGAGGGUCCUGGUGUUCUUUUCAAGGGACUUGCUGUUUUUGCUCUUCGGCAGAUCAACCUUACAAAGAUUGAAAGCCGUCCCUUGAGGAACCAGCCUUUGAGAGCAUCUGAUGAUAGCAACAAUGGUUCAAAAUAUUUUGACUACCUUUUCUAUGUGGACUUCGAAGCAUCCAUGGCCGAAGAGAGAGCACAGAAUGCCCUAAGACAUUUAAAGGAGUUUGCCACUUUCUUGCGAGUUCUAGGGAGCUAUCCAGUGGAUACUACCAUGUUGUAAACAAGUUGUGGAUCAUGGUUGGAUCCACACAUGACAAUAAAAGCCGCUAGAAACCUUGUCUGGUUGAGUUAUGGUUAUGGCCACAAUAAAUGCUUUUUAUUGCAUUCCAACUAGCCUCGACAAUAAUGCAGUUGGUAUUCUAUUGCAAAUAAUUUUCCCAAUAUAUUUACUCACGAUACUACAUAGAAGGUGGAGUUAUUAUGUUGAGAGAAAGGUUUUGUCAGUUGAUAGCCAAGCCAACCAGAAAGCCCACUGCACUGCGCUAUGGAGGGAUGCUGACAAAUAUGGCUUUGGCUUCAUGAUACCCUGUAAUUAAGCGUAAGUAUUUUUUUGUUUUUACAAGCAGGUGGUGUCUUCUUUUAAAAAUUUUCCACGGAAGUUUUCUUUUAAAUUACUUUUAAACUGGGCAUGCUUAUUUCUGAUUUUUUUAUUAUUAUAGAUUUGACAAUUUUGAAUAUAAAUUUAUGACACGACACAUUUGAUAAACAUAAAAAAUAGUGAACAUCUUAAAUGCCAUGUUUUCUUCUUUUUCAUCCCAACUAAA